rnacentral:snRNA from 1 species
AUCGCUUCUCGGCCUUUUGGCUAAGAUCAAGUGUAGUAUCUGUUCUUAUCAGUUUAAUAUCCUGCAAGGGGGCCCCACCACCUUUGCCUCCACAGCUGGGCCCCCAGAGUCACUGGACACACUGAUAUACACUAAGGUUUGAGGAGCAUUGGUGUUGAGUAAAUGGAGCCUCU